rnacentral:rRNA from 1 species
UACGUAGGGGCCGAGCGUUGUCCGGAGUUAUUGGGCGUAAAGCGCGCGCAGGCGGCUUCGCGCGCCCGACGUGAAAGCCCCCGGCUUAACCGGGGAGAGUCGUUGGGGACGGCGGAGCUUGAGGGCGGGAGAGGUCGGUGGAAUUCCCGGUGUGAGUGGUGAAAUGCGUAGAGAUCGGCAGGAACACCCAGGGGGAAACCAGUGGACUGGCACGGUGCUGACGCUCAGGUGCGAAAGCGUGGGGAGCGA